rnacentral:rRNA from 1 species
GGGUGAGUAACACGUGGGUAACCUGCCCAUAAGACUGGGAUAACAUCCGGGAAACCGGGGCUAAUACCGGAUAACAUUUUGAACCGCAUGGUUCGAAAUUGAAAGGCGGCUUCGGCUGUCACUUAUGGAUGGACCCGCGUCGCAUUAGCUAGUUGGUGAGGUAACGGCUCACCAAGGCAACGAUGCGUAGCCGACCUGAGAGGGUGAUCGGCCACACUGGGACUGAGACACGGCCCAGACUCCUACGGGAGGCAGCAGUAGGGAAUCUUCCGCAAUGGACGAAAGUCUGACGGAGCAACGCCGCGUGAGUGAUGAAGGCUUUCGGGUCGUAAAACUCUGUUGUUAGGGAAGAACAAGUGCUAGUUGAAUAAGCUGGCACCUUGACGGUACCUAACCAGAAAGCCACGGCUAACUACGUGCCAGCAGCCGCGGUAAUACGUAGGUGGCAAGCGUUAUCCGGAAUUAUUGGGCGUAAAGCGCGCGCAGGUGGUUUCUUAAGUCUGAUGUGAAAGCCCACGGCUCAACCGUGGAGGGUCAUUGGAAACUGGGAGACUUGAGUGCAGAAGAGGAAAGUGGAAUUCCAUGUGUAGCGGUGAAAUGCGUAGAGAUAUGGAGGAACACCAGUGGCGAAAGCGACUUUCUGGUCUGUAACUGACACUGAGGCGCGAAAGCGUGC